UACAGAGGUCUCAAGCGUUGUUCGGAUUCAUUGGGCGUAAAGGGUGCGUAGGCGGCGCGGUAAGUCGGGUGUGAAAUCUCGGAGCUUAACUCCGAAACUGCAUUCGAUACUGCCGUGCUUGAGGACUGGAGAGGAGACUGGAAUUUACGGUGUAGCGGUGAAAUGCGUAGAUAUCGUAAGGAAGACCAGUGGCGAAGGCGGGUCUCUGGACAGUUCCUGACGCUGAGGCACGAAAGCUAGGGGAGCGAACAGG
rnacentral:rRNA from 1 species